GAUGAAGAACGUAGCGAAAUGCGAUAAGUAGUGUGAAUUGCAGAAUUCAGUGAAUCAUCGAAUCUUUGAACGCACAUUGCGCCCCAUGGUAUUCCGUGGGGCAUGCCUGUUCGAGCGUCAUUUACCCCCUCAAGCUCCGCUUGGUGUUGGGCGUCUGUCCCGCUUCGCGCGCGGACUCGCCCCAAAGGUAUUGGCAGCGGUCGUGCCAGCUUCUCGCGCAGCACAUUGCGCUUCUCGAGGCACCGGUGGGCCCGCGUCCAUCAAGCUCACCCCCCCAGUUUGACCUCGGAUCAGGUAGGGAUACCCGCUGAACUUAAGCAUAUCAAUAAGGAGGA
rnacentral:misc_RNA from 1 species